UGCAGGGUAUAGACCCGAAACCCGGUGAUCUAGCCAUGGGCAGGUUGAAGGUUGGGUAACACUAACUGGAGGACCGAACCGACUAAUGUUGAAAAAUUAGCGGAUGACCUGUGGCUGGGGGUGAAAGGCCAAUCAAACCGGGAGAUAGCUGGUUCUCCCCGAAAGCUAUUUAGGUAGCGCCUCGUGAAUUCAUCUCCGGGGGUAGAGCACUGUUUCGGCUAGGGGGCCAUCCCGGCUUACCAACCCGAUGCAAACUGCGAAUACCGGAGAAUGUUAUCACGGGAGACACACGGCGGGUGCUAACGUCCGUCGUGAAGAGGGAAACAACCCAGACCGCCAGCUAAGGUCCCAAAGUCAUGGUUAAGUGGGAAACGAUGUGGGAAGGCACAGACAGCCAGGAUGUUGGCUUAGAAGCAGCCAUCAUUUAAAGAAAGCGUAAUAGCUCACUGGUCGAGUCGGCCUGCGCGGAAGAUGUAACGGGGCUAAACCAUGCACCGAAGCUGCGGCAGCGACGUUUAUGCGUUGUUGGGUAGGGGAGCGUUCUGUAAGCCUGCGAAGGUGGCCUGUGAGGGUUGCUGGAGGUAUCAGAAGUGCGAAUGCUGACAUAAGUAACGAUAAAGCGGGUGAAAAGCCCGCUCGCCGGAAGACCAAGGGUUCCUGUCCAACGUUAAUCGGGGCAGGGUGAGUCGACCCCUAAGGCGAGGCCGAAAGGCGUAGUCGAUGGGAAACGGGUUAAUAUUCCCGUACUUGGUGUUACUGCGAAGGGGGGACGGAGAAGGCUAUGUUGGCCGGGCGACGGUUGUCCCGGUUUAAGCGUGUAGGCUGGUUUUCCAGGCAAAUCCGGAAAAUCAAGGCUGAGGCGUGACGACGAGGCACUACGGUGCUGAAGCAACAAAUGCCCUGCUUCCAGGAAAAGCCUCUAAGCAUCAGGUAACAUCAAAUCGUACCCCAAACCGACACAGGUGGUCAGGUAGAGAAUACCAAGGCGCUUGAGAGAACUCGGGUGAAGGAACUAGGCAAAAUGGUGCCGUAACUUCGGGAGAAGGCACGCUGACACGUAGGUGAAGUGAUUUACUCAUGGAGCUGAAGUCAGUCGAAGAUACCAGCUGGCUGCAACUGUUUAUUAAAAACACAGCACUGUGCAAACACGAAAGUGGACGUAUACGGUGUGACGCCUGCCCGGUGCCGGAAGGUUAAUUGAUGGGGUCAGCGCAAGCGAAGCUCCUGAUCGAAGCCCCGGUAAACGGCGGCCGUAACUAUAACGGUCCUAAGGUAGCGAAAUUCCUUGUCGGGUAAGUUCCGACCUGCACGAAUGGCGUAAUGAUGGCCAGGCUGUCUCCACCCGAGACUCAGUGAAAUUGAACUCGCUGUGAAGAUGCAGUGUACCCGCGGCAAGACGGAAAGACCCCGUGAACCUUUACUAUAGCUUGACACUGAACAUUGAGCCUUGAUGUGUAGGAUAGGUGGGAGGCUUUGAAGCGUGGACGCCAGUCUGCGUGGAGCCGACCUUGAAAUACCACCCUUUAAUGUUUGAUGUUCUAACGUGGACCCGUAAUCCGGGUUGCGGACAGUGUCUGGUGGGUAGUUUGACUGGGGCGGUCUCCUCCUAAAGAGUAACGGAGGAGCACGAAGGUUGGCUAAUCCUGGUCGGACAUCAGGAGGUUAGUGCAAUGGCAUAAGCCAGCUUGACUGCGAGCGUGACGGCGCGAGCAGGUGCGAAAGCAGGUCAUAGUGAUCCGGUGGUUCUGAAUGGAAGGGCCAUCGCUCAACGGAUAAAAGGUACUCCGGGGAUAACAGGCUGAUACCGCCCAAGAGUUCAUAUCGACGGCGGUGUUUGGCACCUCGAUGUCGGCUCAUCACAUCCUGGGGCUGAAGUAGGUCCCAAGGGUAUGGCUGUUCGCCAUUUAAAGUGGUACGCGAGCUGGGUUUAGAACGUCGUGAGACAGUUCGGUCCCUAUCUGCCGUGGGCGCUGGAGAACUGAGGGGGGCUGCUCCUAGUACGAGAGGACCGGAGUGGACGCAUCACUGGUGUUCGGGUUGUCAUGCCAAUGGCACUGCCCGGUAGCUAAAUGCGGAAGAGAUAAGUGCUGAAAGCAUCUAAGCACGAAACUUGCCCCGA
rnacentral:rRNA from 1 species